AACGUAGGAGACAAACGUUAUCCGGAGUUACUGGGCGUAAAGGGCGUGCAGGUGGCUUGAUAAGUUCGGCGUGAAAUUUCCCGGCUUAACCGGGGGAUGUCGUCGGAGACUGUCGAGCUAGAGGGUGAUAGAGGCGUGUGGAAUUCCGGGUGUAGGGGUGAAAUGCGUAGAGAUCCGGAGGAACACCAGUGGCGAAGGCGACACGCUGGGUCAUACCUGACACUAAAACGCGACAGCAUGGGGAGCGAACGGG
rnacentral:rRNA from 1 species